rnacentral:rRNA from 1 species
UACGAAGGUGGCGAGCGUUGUUCGGAAUCACUGGGCAUAAAGCGCGCGUAGGCGGCUUUGUAAGUCGGUUGUGAAAUCCCCCAGCUCAACUGGGGAACUGCGACCGAUACUGCAAGGCUUGAGGCUUGGAGGGGAGUGCGGAAUUCUCGGUGGAGCGGUGAAAUGCGUAGAGAUCGAGAGGAACAUCGGUGGCGAAAGCGGCACUCUGGACAAGUCCUGACGCUGAGGUGCGAAAGCCAGGGGAGCAAACGGG